rnacentral:rRNA from 1 species
GACGGCCGUACCAUGCUGAAUAUACCGGUUCUCGUUAGAUCACCGAAGUUAAGAGUCAUUGGGCGCGGUCAGUACUUGGGUGGGGGACCACCUGGGAACACUGCGUGCCGUU